ACUCGAGUGGCGAACGGGUGAGUAACGCGUGGGUGAUCUGCCUUGCACUCUGGGAUAAGCUUGGGAAACUGGGUCUAAUACCGGAUAGGAACCGUCUUUAGUGUGGUGGUUGGAAAGUUUUUUCGGUGCAAGAUGAGCUCGCGGCCUAUCAGCUUGUUGGUGGGGUAAUGGCCUACCAAGGCGUCGACGGGUAGCCGGCCUGAGAGGGUGUACGGCCACAUUGGGACUGAGACACGGCCCAG
rnacentral:rRNA from 1 species